rnacentral:rRNA from 1 species
AGUCGACGGGCUUUUUUAGAGUAGCAAUACUUUGAAAAAGCUAGUGGCNAACGGGUGCGUANCACGUGAACAAUCUACCUUUAAGGUGGGGAAUANCUCGUCGAAAGGCGAAUUAAUACCGCAUGUGGUCAGGCUUCGCAUGAAGCCUGAACUAAAGUCNNGGACCGCAAGGCCUGACGCUUAUAUUAGGAGUUCGCGGCCUAUCAGCUANCUUGGCGAGGUAAUGGCUCACCANGGCUAANACGGGUAGCUGGUCUGANAGGAUGAUCAGCCACACUGGAACUGAGACACGGUCCAGACACCUACAGGUGGCAGCANUUUCGAAUCAUUCACAAUGGGCGAAAGCCUGAUGGUGCGACGCCNCGUGAGGGAUGACNGCCUUCGGGUUGUAAACCUCUGUCACCAUGGAAGAAAAACCGGGCGUUAAUAGCGUCUGGUCUNACUUANCCUGGANAGGAAGCAGUGGCUAACUCUGUGCCAGCAGCCGCGGUAAUACANAGACUGCNAGCGUUAUUCNGAUUCACUGGGCGUANAGGGUGCNCAGNCGGUCGUGUGUGUUANGUGUGAAAGCCCGAGGCUCAACCUCNGAACUGCNCCUANNACUACACGACUAGANUAUUGNAGAGGGUAGCGGAAUUCNUGGUGUAGCNCUGAAAUGCNUACAUAUCAUGAGGAACACCAGAGGCGAAGGCGGCUACCUGGACAAUAACUGACGCUCAGGCACGAAAGCGUGGGGAGCAAAAGGGAUUAGAUACCCCUGUAGUCCACGCCCUAAACGGUGCACACUAGGUCUUGGAGGAUUCGACCCCUUCAGGGCCCAAGCUAACGCGUUAAGUGUGCCGCCUGAGGACUACGGCCGCAAGGCUAAAACUCAAAGGAAUUGACGGGGGCCCGCACAAGCGGUGGAGCAUGUGGNUUAAUUCGAUGCAACGCGAAGAACCUUACCUAGCCUUGACAUGCACUGGACCGGCCUUGAAAGGGGCCUUUCCUUCGGGACCGGUGCGCAGGUGCUGCAUGGCUGUNGUCAGCUNGUGUCGUGAGAUGUUGCGUUAAGUCGCGCAACGAGCGCAACCCUUGUCCUUAGUUGCCAGCAUUCAGUUNGGCACUCUAGGGAGACAAACCCUCUCUNAGGGUGGGAAGGUGGGGAUGACGUCAAGUCNGGAUGGCCCNUACGGCUANGGNUGCACACGUGNUACAAUGCCCGAUACAGAGGGAAGCAAUACCGCGAGGUGGAGNGAAUCCUUAAAAUCGGGCCCAGUUCNGAUUGCAGUNUNCAACUNGNCUGCAUGAAGUUGNAAUCGNUAGUAAGUGGCUGUAUCAGCUAGAGAUCGCCGUGAAUACGUUGCCCGGGCCUUGUACACACCGCCCGUCGUCAUCAUGAAAGGCCGGUUUUGCCANGAAGUGUGUUUGCCAAUCCANCAAUGGAGGCGGCG